rfam:Sporomusa sp. An4 isolate Sporomusa ovata strain An4 genome assembly, contig: SPAN4DRAFT_scaffold-2
UCAUAAGAUGAGUUCCAAGUCAUCAUUGCCCAUGUGGAAGUGAUGACCGAAGGGUAUGAAGAGCAAUUUUCAUGCCUGCCCGUAUUGUGCGAAGGAAGUCUGGUAAAUCAGGC